AAAAUGCGUUACCUAGUGUGACAUGCAUACACUCGUGAAUCACCGACAUCUUGAACGUAACUGACAAAGCGGGUUUACGCCCGCUUUAAUCACGACCGAGUGCCAACAAAUUCACCACAAAAUUGGGCGUUCGAUUUAACCGUCGUCGCCUUAAAUCUAACUUAUACGUUAAUUCACGGUCAAAAAGUUUUCGCCGUAAAAAAGCUUAAACCCGAAAACCAUAACGUAUAUUUAUCCCAAAACCCGAAUAACACGGGUCAACAUUUCACCGAGAUUGAAAACCUUGGUCUUAUUUGACCUCGAUCGUGAUAGACUACCCGCUGAAUUUAA
rnacentral:misc_RNA from 1 species